GACUAAACCUUCUCUUUUUUUAUGGCAUCGCCAACCAGUUGGUGCAUGCAUGAUUAUAAAUAGAGAAAAUUACCUUUAGUUUGGUCUAAGCUAUAAUUGUUCAUUAUAAUUAUGCUUUAUAUUUUAAAUUUUAUACACUUGCAAACAUUUAAUGCUAUUUUUAUUAUUUAUCGGAAUGCUGGCGUGGCUAGAAUUGUUUAUGUUAUUGAUCCUGGAGUUGCCUGGAAGAAUGUGUAUGAUAUAAAGCAAGGGCUUGAUUCCCUAGUUAUAAAGCCAAUUUCACAGGCGUCUGCCAAGCAACGAGCUGGACAUGGCUGGUGCACUGGGCCUGGAAAAUGUUAUCGUUUCUACACAGAAAGUGCAUACCGUAAUGAGAUGUCUCCCACCUCGAUUCCUGAAAUCCAAAAGAUUAAUCUUGGAGCCACUACGCUUGCAAAGAAGACCAGCCAUGGAAAUUAAUGACAUAUUGUCUUUUGAUUUUAUGGAUCCGCCUUCACCCUUGUCUUUCUUUUAUGGAAAAGUCUCUUCCAUACUUCUUCAAUAUAUAUAAUUUUAAUAUGCUAUGUAAAAAAUAAUAAAAAAUAUAUGACAAAAUAAUACAUUUUCAAUUAAAAAAUACUUUUAAAAAAUCGAUUACAUAAACACCCUUUAGGGCAAGGAAAACUAUAAUGGAUAAUUGCAUUUUAUUCCAAAUUACGAGAUUCUAAAUGUAAUUUCCCCUAUUUGUUCUGUCACUUUUUUUUUACUCUUUUCGGUUGAUGAUUAUCGCAGAUCAUGAUUUUCAUUUUUUGUCAACUUCUCUAGGAUGGACCUGGACUGCAGUUUAAAUCAGGAUGUAAAGUGUAAUCCAAGCUUGUUGUUUGUCGACAUUGCAGUUACGGAGGAUCAAUGCAACGAAUUUCAACCUCAGGCUCUUGAACAAACUAUUCGUGGGCUUGGACGCCAAUGCCAAUGGGAUUGACAUCUGGAAGAUCUGAAAAACUUGAGAUUGUGAGAAACUCGAACGACUCCAUUCGUGUUAGAAUCAAAGCAUCCAAAGGAUUCUUCUUGCAGAGGAGCUGGUAAGACCUGAUAAUGCAAGUGACAGCAAAUGGGGAGACGAUGUACACGUCAGUAUUUGUGAUGACCAUUGCUGGAGGGUUUCAAGUCACUAAUGGUUAUGGUCCAAAACUAGCCCCACAAGUUGUGAGGGUAAGAGCCUACUAAAUUUACAGGUUCAUGAUUUCCCGUCAAUCUUUAGCUUCCAAAAACUAUAACGAGCUAAGCACAAGGCAGAAGUCUCUACAGUGCUUUUGGUUGACUGGAUGUUCCUAGAAUCGAUCACCGGAAGUUUCUGUUUUUGGUCAACAACGAUUAAUUUCGAAAUGAAUAUAUUAAGAUUUUCAUCA